rnacentral:lncRNA from 1 species
UUCCUUGUUUUAAGAUUAUCAUUUCAGCGGCUAAGUAACUUGUUAUUACAAUCGAUUCUCAUAAUAUUGCAGACUCCCUGGUAAAUCACUAAUCCAAUUUAACUUAAAUUCAAAGUCUCAGUAGCUAAUUAACUUGUUAUUACAAUCAAUUGUCAUAUUGCAGACUCCCUAGUAAAUCACUAAUCCAAUUUAACCUAACUCAAUGUUUAGAUCAUACAUACUUUCAUACUCCUUGGUAAAUCACUAAUUCAAUUUAACCUUACUCAUUUUAAACCGUUACAUAGUCUUGUCAUCAACAGAUAUCUCAAGACUGAAUGCAUAGAGACAAGGCUCCCCAUAGGCAUUCUCCUUAACUUGUCCAUCCCUUCAAUUUUUCAAUUACUCAGCUGCCUAUCUUGAACUGAGAGGUUGAGUUUUGGGAACUCAAACAAGCCCAAGAAGUCGUUCAUCGUUUUCAAUAUGUACUCCACGGGUCAUUGAAGAAGCUCCACAUCAAGUCGUAUCUGCAAGUAUAUAAGAGGUUCAGAAAUUAAACAAAGAUGAUAAUAGAUUAGUUGAUAGCUAGCUACAUAUAUAUACCUCUGUUUGGUAAAUCGUCAAUUCGAUAUAGACUUAUGAAGCAGGUUAUUGUCUCAUCUUCUUCUUCUUCCUCAUCUGGACUAUUGGAUACAUCAAGAUUCGUCUUCAUCAUGAUUUAUAAUGAAAGGCAAAACCCAAUCUCUAAUUACAUAAGAAUCAAAUCCAAAAACUUAAACCCUAAUUACAUAAGAAAUUGAGAUAUUACUGAGGAUCGAGUGAGGGAGUGAUGAGUUGAGCAGCGCCCUUGAGGUCUUUUUUAUAGGAGUAGUGGAGGCUUCUAGAGAGGUGGAUUUGUACAAAACAAUGGCAACCUUUUACCUGGUUUUAGGUUUCUGGUUUUACUUUUUUUCUUUUUCUUUUUAGAAACGUUCUGGUUUUUACGUUUACGUUAUGGAAAGGAGGCAUAUUGAGUUGAUCUUAUCUAGGUUCAUAGCCUCUCCAAUUGAGAUAAAGAUACCUUUGUUUUAUUCAAAAAAANNNNNNNNNNNNNNNNNNNNAUAUAUAUAUAUAUAUAUAUAUAUAUAUAUAUAUUUAAACGUAGUUGUUUAAAGUUACAUUUGACAUUCAUUGUUUUCUUUUAGCAUGUUGUAAAUAUUUAUUUAUAACCCUAUUCUCAAGAUGUAAACAAUAUGUUAAACGUACAAUAUGCAUGUCGUUAAUGUAGACAAUAAAUAUCAUAAACAACCGAUCUUUUGUAGUAAGAUUAAGGUCAACGGGGUGUAAAAAGACGUGUUUACUAAUUUCAAUGUAGUAUUGAUGUUUAGAGUAUGCUUCAUUUUGGGUGUUCUUGUCGCUGCAUGCACAUACUAUUAAUGGAUUUUUUCUGCAGCCCCAUAAGCAAGUUCUUAUUGUACUAAUUUAUAUAGCAUGUUGUAAAUAUUUGUUCAUAAUACCCUAAACUCAUGAUGUUAAUAGUUAAACGGGCAACAUG